GUACACACCGCCCGUCUCUAUUACCGAUUGAGUGUUAAGGUGAACCUUCUCGAUAGAGCAACUAAAAAUUAAGUAAACCUUGACACUUAGAGGAAUAAAAGUCGUAACAAGGUUUCCGUAGGUGAACCUGCAGAGGAUCA
rnacentral:rRNA from 1 species